rnacentral:lncRNA from 13 species
CAAGCUGGCCUUGUGCCUUCCUCACCUCCAACUCUCCCCAUCGCCCUCUUCUCACACCCCUGCUGUAGUGUGUGUGACAUAAGAGUACACCUUACCAUCAAUCCAAGUAAACAUACCCAGCAUGCUCAGCAAGCAGCCCUCAAACGUCCACUUCCUCAGACUGCCAGUGCCACUACUUGUCUUCCUCUUCCGUGUUUGUUGUUUUCGUUUCUUUCUCUCUUAUAUGUUCUCUCCAUCAUGAAUUUGAGUAAGUGGCUGCCUUGGAGAAGGCGCAGUGCUUCCAGACAGAGGAGGAAGCAGGAGAGAGUGUCUCUUGUUCUGGAUGAGCACGAUGCAGUACAGAAGAAAACCUUCACCAAAUGGAUAAAUGCACAGUUCUCCAAGGUAAUGCCAAAGUGUGGUAGGCUAUAUCCGAACCUGUUCACACAAAGGUUGCUCAGUUAAACCCACCAAUAAUUUAAGUUAAACCCAUCACUAAUUUAACUUAAACCCAUCACUAAUUUAACUUAAGCCCAUCACUAAUUUAACUUAAACCCAUCACUAAUUUAACUUAAGCCCAUCACUAAUUUAAAUUAAACCCAUCACUAAUUUAAAUUAAACCCAUCACUAAUUUAACUUAAGCCCAUCACUAAUUUAACUUAAGCCCAUCACUAAUUUAAACUUAAGCCCAUCACUAAUUUAACUUAAGCCCAUCACUAAUUUAAAUUAAACCCAUCACUAAUUUAACUUAAGCCCAUCACUAAUUUAGCUUAAGCCCAUCACUAAUUUAACUUAAGCCCAUCACUAAUUUAACUUAAGCCCAUCACUAAUUUAACUUAAACCCAUCACUAAUUUAAGUUAAACCCACCAAUAAUUUUUGUUAAAUCCACCAGCACCAGCUAAGAAAAUAUUGUUCUGGAAACCUCCAACACUGAUGCUGAACUGAGCUAGGAGUUUGAAGACGGGCUGAAUGAAGUAGUGUGAGCAGGUUAUUUCUGUCCAAACAGACUGUUUUGUUUGACUGUUUCAGACUAAUAACUUCCCCUUUGAACACUAACCCUGACCUUCUCUUCCCAGGCCCAGGAGAAUAACAGAUUCACUGCAGGAAAGAAUAGAUAGCCUAGCGGAGCACUAAGAGGACAUUAGCAUGGCUGACUCCCCUAUUACAGUGUAUACAGGGAAAAUGCUUCAACGUUAACUCGAUUUAGCUAUUGUCUUCUUGAUAAAUUAAUUGGUCUUCACUUGAGUCUGGUUAAUCUUCUCUGUGCUAAUCAGAAACAUGCUAAUGUAACAUUGAUGCUUCUGUCCCUCUCCUCGCCCCAACCUGGGCUCAAACCAGGGACCCUCGGUCUCCCACAAAGCAUUGUUACCUAUCACUCCACAAGAGCCUUGGCCCUUGAAGCAGUUGUUACUCUUGCUCUACAAGGUUAACUAGCUAGCCAUUUUACACCAUUUACAUUAACGCGCGCUAAUGCUAGUCUGAUAAUGGGCCUUGUGUGUGUGUGGUCUUGUUUUAGCUAUGUUCCCUCACUCCCACAGGGUAGUUAACAGAAAUAUUUUAAACAUGCUUAUACAAUUUCACUAAUUAUUUUUCCAUAAAUACAUGUAUGGACUCUAGUUUUUUUCUUUUUCUCAUUCGCUCUCAUUUCUUUCUCUUUCUCCUCUCUCUCCCCCUUCUCCCUCUCGUUUUCUCUCUGUA